rnacentral:tRNA from 1 species
GCGGAUAUAGUACAGCGGUAGUACACAGCCUUCCCAAGGCCGGGAUGCGGGUUCGACUCCCGUUAUCCGCU